rnacentral:lncRNA from 1 species
CUUAAGAGCAUAGACACUCACUUCAUAUUUGGUGGCCACCUAGAGAAAUAAGGGCAUGGUGAGCUUUAGCAACGUCCUCAACUGAAACCCAAGGAGUUUCACUACAGCAUUAGGUAAAUGCAAUGGUUAGAAAAUAAAAAAUAAACAAACCAGCAAAACCCACAACCUUGAAAAUUCCUAGAUUAAUUUCAUUCCUACAGUGCAGGUGAUAAAUGUAUUUAUCAAUUUUAAAAUGCUCUUAGCGGUUAAGCUUAAGUAAGCCAUAGAUUAUAUACUUAAACUAAGCUGGUAAAAAAAAUGAGAAAAGUGGGUAUUAGCGUAUUUUUCUUUUUUAUGAUCUGACAGGUGUAAAUCAUAAUUUUUUCCUUAUCAUAGAGAGGCAAAGAGAAUGUUCCAUUUUGUCUCUGAACCCUCUUUCUGUAGUUUCCCCUGAAAUUGGCCUUAUGUUAAGAGGUACAUCAGUCCCCUAGGUUCCUAGCAGUUUUCUGCAUGUAUGUCUGGAAGGAUUUUAAAAUGUUUUAAUGAGGGUAGGCUCAAGGUAGACUGGUACAAACUGUAAAAUAUUCUUUACCAAGGUAACAGAGCUCAGAAAAUGCAUAACUAAGUCGAUUUAUGCAUUCAACCAAUGGAUAUGUAAAUUGCCCCCCACAACCUUUUAAAAUAAGCACAAUACAUCUAAAAGAGCUGCACAAAAUCCAAAGCUAUUUAUAAAAUUCUGUCCCAAUAGUCAUCUGGAAAACUUAGGUCAACAUAAAGGAAUUCCGUUGAUAUAAAAUUACAAUAAGAUUAUUUGAUGCAGAGGAAAAGAACAGUUAGAUUUAUUAUGAUAUUAUAUUUUCACCACCUUAGAAACUGUGUUAGAGAUGAUCUCCAUCUUUAUUCCAAUGAACAACGGUCAUGUCUUACCAUAAGUCCUGAUACAACCACGGAUGAGCUGUCAGGAGCAAGGUUGAUUUCUUUCAUUGGUCCGGUCUUCUCCUUGGGGGUCACCCGCACUCGAUAUCCAGUGAGCUGAACAUUGGGUGGUGUCCACUGGGCGCUCAGGCUUGUGGGUGUGACCUGAGUGAACUUCAGGUCAGUUGGUGCAGGAAUAGCUGUCGAGAUUGUCAUUGGUUAGAGGUUAUCUUAUAGGAAAUGGGGGAAAAGGAAAAUAAAGUGAGUUCCAAGAAGUAGAAUGGAUUGUUCUUGUUGGGCUAGGUGGGUUCCCUGGUCAAGCAAAGAUUCAGUACAAGAAAGUACGUACAGUAAGGGAUGCAAAAUGAAGAAAGUGUUUGCUGAGAAAUGUGUUUUAUAUCCACCAAUUCUCAGAAUCACUGAAAACAUUUGGGUAAAUGCCAAAACUCUAAGAGAUUUUAGGUUUUACAAGUUUUGCUUUCCCUUAAAAAAAAAAGUUACAUUGGCUUAUUGGCCAUUAUGAUUUAUUUUACUUUUGUAUGGAAAAAUAAGCAAUGGCCCUUUUUCUUUCUUAAAAUUGUUAAUUAAUUAAUUUAGAAACGGUCUCUCUGUGUCAUCCAGGCGGCAGUGCAGUGGAGUUAUCAUAGCUCACUGCAGCCUUGAACUCGUAGGCUCAAGUGAUCCUCUACCUCAGCCUCUUGAGUAGCUGGGACUACAGGCAUGUGUCACCACACCUCGCUAAUUUUUUCAUAUUUUUUUGUAGAGACGGGGUCUCACUUCAUUGCCCAGGCUGAUCAUGAACUCCUGGCCUCAAUCAGUGCUCCCGGCUUAGCCUCCCAAAGCACUAGGAUUACAUGUGUGAGCCACUGCACCCGGCCUCCUUUUUCUAUUCUACAUAAAGUAUCUUUGUAUGGAUAACCAUUUCACGCAGUAUUCCAUCCAAAAAAGAGAGAAUAAUGUUUUUAUUGUCUCUUUAUUUGGACCCUAUGGCAGAUAUGGCUGCUAAAUUUGACGUUCUCUCUGUAAUGCGGCGUAAGAAGAAAACUGGCUCCCAACAGAAGCAGAAAAGAGAAGCGAAAAGCAAUAAUACAGACUGUCACCUCUAGGGUUUAUGCUGUCACUAGGAUACAUCUUUAGCAUUCUACUCUGCUUCAGAAAUAAAGCACAAGAAGAUAAAGUAUUAUGGAAAGCAAUUGCCCUAUUGAUUAUUUCCUAGGUGUCUAAAUCACAAUCAUUUAAGCUAA